rnacentral:rRNA from 1 species
UACGUAGGGUGCGAGCGUUAAUCGGAAUUACUGGGCGUAAAGCGUGCGCAGGCGGUGAUGUAAGACAGUUGUGAAAUCCCCGGGCUCAACCUGGGAACUGCAUCUGUGACUGCAUCGCUGGAGUGCGGCAGAGGGGGAUGGAAUUCCGCGUGUAGCAGUGAAAUGCGUAGAUAUGUGGAGGAACACCGAUGGCGAAGGCAGCCCCCUGGGAUAACACUGACGCUCAUGCACGAAAGCGUGGGGAGCAAACAGG